rnacentral:lncRNA from 1 species
AAUGUACAUCGUGAAUUUGCUAAUACUUCCAUUGCAAAGACAUGAUCAUAGACAGAAAAUAUAAUUACAGCUCACUGUGAAACAUCCUGCUUGGUUCAAAGAGAGAAGGGGUGCAGUGGAUUCGGGCUUGUGAUUCUUUAUCACAGUGCUAGAAGCUCCAUGAAGAUCUGCAUGGGCAUACGUGUAUUUCACAACAAUUGAUCACUUCUCUGAUGAUAUAACAAUUCUCUAUCUCUCAUGAUGUAUAGUAUAAUCUUUGAUUUUUGGUUUUGUGGACAAGAUAAGAGCAGGGAGAGAUGCUGGGGAUGAAGGGUAAAUAAAGAACAAUUUAAUACCACCAAGAGCUAGCCAUUUCUCAGUCAAUAAACUAAAGGCCAAGGUUCAAUCAAUUCUAUAAUCCAAAAUUUGUUUCUCUCGCGAUUAAGCAGUAACAUAUUUAUAUGUAUUAUAUCAUUUCAAGCUUCAAUCAAGCCCCACAAGUAAACAGUAGAAAGAAUCAUAAAAUAAAUAACAGAGAAGCUAUUCAUGGAUGAGAAAGAACAUCCUGAGCUGAAGUAAGAGAGGUAACAUCCAUCCGAUGACUGAAGAGUACCCAUCAAGUUGUGAAAAGUUCCUGAAAACUUUGUAGAAGUAUCUAAAACUUCUGGAUAUCAAGUCUAUAACAUGACACCCCAUAAAAAAGGCUAAAAAGGAAGUAUUUAAAUAAUUUACUCACAGAUCUCCUUUAGACAUAUAACGUUUGACUAUCAUCUCGUUCUGUUGAGCAUCACGUCCGCUAAUAACCAGAUAAUUCUCACUGCUGAUGAACCAAUUGAAUUUUUCAAACCAAUGAACUUUGCGCAUGUGUGAAAUUGUGGCUACCGUUUUCUCCUGCAAAUUAUGUAUAAGGUAAGUAUUACCACCUCACAA